AAAAAUAUAUUUUCUUUCAUAAUUUCUUUAAACAAUUAAUUUACAAACGUUUCAGAAAAUGGAUAUAUAGCAUUUAAGAAUGAAUCUCUUAUGUUUCCCCCAUCUGAGUUCAGAGUAGAUGAGAGAUGUUAUGUUUGUCUCUGUUGUGUUGAAGACCAAUCAGCAGGAGAGACCAGCCUCCCCUGUACCCAGCUGUGUGUCCAUGAAGAGUGACUGGUCUAUGGGUGAACCUAUAGUGUUUAGAGGGGAGACUUUUCUACUGAACAAAGCUGUGUGUCCAUGAAGAGUGACUGGUCUAUGGAACGUCCUAUAGACUUUAGAGAGGGAGACUUUUCUACUGAACAAAGAAACCAACAGGAGAGAUCAGAGUCAGAGAUUCUCAGUGGUCAGUCUUCCCAGAGUCAUCAAACAGACCUGGCCUCCAUAUUCAGUUUGCUUGAAGAGAAUAUUAUUACAUUUGUGAAGAAACGAGCUGAAGAUGUUCAAGAGGAUUCUUAGUCCAGAACUCCCAGAAGGCUUUGAGAGUCAGAAGCAGGAUAAGGAAGUGGUGGGUGCUGAAGAUGAGAAGCAGGAGAGAAGUGCCAGAGAGGGGGCUCUGAAGAUCACAUUGCACGUCCUGAGGGAAAUGAACCAGAAGGAGCUUGCUGACACACUGGAGAAAUAUUCAGAUGAGCUUGCUGUGAUUUGCCAACGUGAACUCAAAUCUAAUCUAAAGAAGAAGUUUCAAUGUGUAUUUGAGGGGAUCGCUAAACAAGGAAACCCAA